rnacentral:rRNA from 1 species
CCUACGGGGGGCAGCAGUAGGGAAUCUUCCACAAUGGACGAAAGUCUGAUGGAGCAACGCCGCGUGAGUGAAGAAGGGUUUCGGCUCGUAAAACUCUGUUGUUAGAGAAGAACAUAUCUGAGAGUAACUGUUCAGGUAUUGACGGUAUCUAACCAGAAAGCCACGGCUAACUACGUGCCAGCAGCCGCGGUAAUACGUAGGUGGCAAGCGUUGUCCGGAUUUAUUGGGCGUAAAGCGAGCGCAGGCGGUUUUUUAAGUCU